AGAGUUUGAUCCUGGCUCAGAUUGAACGCUGGCGGCAUGCUUUACACAUGCAAGUCGAGCGGCAGCGCGGGGCAACCUGGCGGCGAGCGGCGAACGGGUGAGUAAUAGAUAGGAACGUGUCCGAGAGUGGGGGAUAACUAGCCGAAAGGUUAGCUAAUACCGCAUAUUCUUUGCGGAGGAAAGCGGGGGACCAGUAAUGGCCUCGCGCUCACGGAGUGGCCUAUCUCCGAUUAGCUAGUUGGUGAGGUAAAGGCUUACCAAGGCGACGAUCGGUAGCUGGUCUGAGAGGAUGAUCAGCCACACUGGGACUGAGACACGGCCCAGACUCCUACGGGAGGCAGCAGUGGGGAAUUUUGGACAAUGGGGGCAACCCUGAUCCAGCCAUGCCGCGUGCGGGAAGAAGGCCUUCGGGUUGUAAACCGCUUUUAUUCGGAAAGAAGGAGUGCGGGUUAAUACCCUGCAUGACAGACGGUACCGGAUGAAUAAGCACCGGCUAACUACGUGCCAGCAGCCGCGGUAAUUC
rnacentral:rRNA from 1 species